rnacentral:rRNA from 1 species
GGGGAAUAUUGGACAAUGGGGGCAACCCUGAUCCAGCCAUGCCGCGUGAGUGAUGAAGGCCUUCGGGUUGUAAAGCUCUUUUGGCGGGGACGAUGAUGACGGUACCCGCAGAAUAAGCCCCGGCUAACUUCGUGCCAGCAGCCGCGGUAAGACGAAGGGGGCUAGCGUUGUUCGGAAUUACUGGGCGUAAAGCGAGUGUAGGUGGUUGUCCAAGUUGGAUGUGAAAGCCUUGAGCUCAACUCAAGAAAUGCAUUCAGGACUGGAUGACUAGAGGACCGGAGAGGAUAGUGGAAUUCCCAGUGUAGUGGUGAAAUACGUAGAGAUUGGGAAGAACACCAGUGGCGAAGGCGGCUUCCUGGACCGACACUGACGCUGAGGCGCGAAAGCUAGGGGAGCAAA